GUGGGGAAUUUUGGACAAUGGGCGCAAGCCUGAUCCAGCAAUGCCGCGUGCAGGAAGAAGGCCUUCGGGUUGUAAACUGCUUUUGUACGGAACGAAACGGUCCUGGUUAAUACCUGGGGCUAAUGACGGUACCGUAAGAAUAAGCACCGGCUACCUACGUGCCAGCAGCCGCGGUAAUACGUAGGGUGCAAGCGUUAAUCGGAAUUACUGGGCGUAAAGCGUGCGUAGGCGGUUUUGGAAGACAGACGUGAAAUCCCCGGGCUCAACCUGGGGAUGGCGUUUGUGACUGCAAAGCUGGAGUGCGGCAGAGGGGGAUGGAAUUCCGCGUGUAGCAGUGAAAUGCGUAGAUAUGCGGAGGAACACCGAUGGCGAAGGCAAUCCCCUGGGCCUGCACUGACGCUCAUGCACGAAAGCGUGGGGAGCAAACAGGAUUAGAUACCCCUGUAGUCC
rnacentral:rRNA from 1 species